GGACAGGUGGCCGAGUGGCUCAAGGCGCGCGCCUGGAGAGCGCGUAGGCGGUAUCCCCGUCUCGUGGGUUCGAAUCCCACCCUGUCCG
rnacentral:tRNA from 1 species